CUGGGCGAGCAACGCUUGGCGCGCGGCGCAGCGCCGAGCCCAAGCCCUGACCGGCCACCGAGCUUUCCGGCUCCUCGUGGCCCUCCUCAUUGUGCUCAGCAGCCUCGUGCUGUGUCUGGAAGGCGGCCCGAGACCGGCCAUGGUGCGCGGCCGACUGGAGCUGGCGAGUGCGCUGUUCACCGUGCUGCUCAGCGUGGACGUCGCCCUGGUGCUUGUCGCCAAGGGCCCGCACGCUUACUUCUCAUCGGGAUGGCACCUGCUUGACUUCAUCGUGCAGUCGACGUCGCUUCUGUACGAGGUUUUCGACGUGAUCGGCGUGCAGGGCUCGGUGAUCGACGUGCUGCGCGCCACCAGAGCUCUGAG
rnacentral:lncRNA from 1 species